rnacentral:rRNA from 1 species
AUGGCCGGAGGCGGCGGCAAGCCGUUCGGGGACAACGUGUUCGCCGGCCAUGCGGCCGCGGGAGUCGCGGCGAUCAGCGCCUCCGCGGUCGCCGUCCACCCCCUCGACACCGUCAAGAGCCUCCUCCAGUUGAGCGCGGCGGGGCAGAAGCAGAAGAUGGGGCUCCGCCAUGCGGUGGACCGGCUCAUGCACGUCUCCGGUCCUGCAGGUCUUUACAGUGGCAUUGGAUGGUCAAUAUUAGGUAAACUGCCUGGUUUGGGAGCACGUUUUGGGACCUAUGAGCUUUUAACAGCCUUCUAUAAAGAUGGCAGGGAGGACAACCAUGUUAAUUAUUCUGAGGCAAUGUUGGCUGGCAUAACUGCUGGUGCUGUAGAGGCAUUUGUGUGCACACCAUUUGAACUUCUCAAACUUCGGUCCCAAGUUGGUUCUGCCAUACCUAUGAAAGCUACGAACCCUGCUAAUGUUAUACAGGAGUCGUUUCCACUGCUUUCCAAGCUAUUACCUGGUCAUGUCCCUGACAUGAGAGUGUGGAAUAGCAGUGUCAGUCUGUUGUCCAAUCUUUCCCCCAAGCAUCCUGACAUGAUGGGUGCCCUGAAACAGCACCCAUGGAUGCUGACUGGCUCUGGGAAGCCCCCGUUACCCUCUGAUGUUCAGGUGCCUUCGAGAUUGAUAGCACUUGAAGGAUGGGGUGCUUUAUGGAGAGGACUUAGGCCAGGAGUAGCCCGAGACUGUGUCUUUAGUGGAAUGUUCUUUUCUUGUUGGCAAUUCAUACAUACGGCGAUGCUUACUUGGCAGUCUGUUAACAUGAACCCUGAACCCAGGAAUUUAGAAGAAGCAGGUCCUGUACCCCCUUUAGCUUCUAGUCUGGCUGCAGGCUUCUCUGGAGUUGUAGCAGCUGCUGCUUCACAUACGUUUGAUACUGCCAAAAGUCGUUCACAGUGCACUGUGAUACCUAAGUAUAUAGCAAUGGAGAGGAGGUUUCUUAAGUGGAGAGCACCGGGAAUGUGGAUAGAGAGAAUGACAGGAACGUCACCUGCUGAUAGGAAUGUUCUGUUUCGUGGCAUUGGGUUACGGAUGGCGCGCAUUGGAAUCGCAUCUUUUGUACUUGUUGGGUCCUACUAUUUAGCCGUAGAUCAGCUCCUGUAG